AGUCGACGUGGAAUGCAAACUUUAUUAAUUAUUUUCAAAUCAUUUACGCCUUUUAAUAUCCCCGUCAUUUUCACUCCCUGAUGAGUUCCGGUUAUUCGUGAGACCAAAAUUGAGCCGUAUUUGCUAUGUAUCGCACGAUCAAAGCAUUUUUUUUGGUUCCGCAAAUCACGACAAAAUUAGAUAAAAAAGCCCCCUCAAAUAGGGCGCUCUAGGUAUUCAGAAAACCAUUUUUUACCCAUUAAUCUUCUUAGAUUCAAUAACUUGAAAGCGUGAUUUCAUUUCCAGAAUGAGAAAAAACGAAUUAUUUCCUUUCUGAAGGAGUGCAACAAAGCUUUUCAUGUGUUGAAAUGAAAAACAUUGAUAUUGUUUUCGUGAAAAGUCAUUCACAGCUUGUUCGUGGUAUCUAAAUGAGCCUACAUCCGUUUGCUUAUCAUUGAGUGCUUGGUGGGCUUAAAUGAAAGAGAUUUUGCGAGCAGUACUCCACAAGCCGAUUUUAUAACAAACCGGCGGUUCAAAGGACGGUUGGAAACUCCCAAAAGAAUUGACGCCGUGAAAGCAAACUAUGGCUGCAGCACUUGUUACUGUUCUGUUGAUUAUGUUAGUUGCUGGUGAAUAUAUUGAUGAAAUUGACGGCUUGCUCCGCGCUGGCAGGGAUCGAAUCGAGAAGGAGUCACGUGACGAUUAUAUGCACAAAAGAGAGGCUGCUGAUAUGCGCGAAUAUCGACUUCCUUUUUACUCAAGAAGAAGCAGAAUCCAAAAUGCUGAGGAGUGACCUUCAAACUCACAGACAUUUCUUAAGCCGAUCUUUUAUAACCUAAAUAUGUGAUUAGUACCUAAAAUACGAGCAUUGUAAAGAAUAAAAGGAUCUUCAUC